CCCUUAGAUGUUCUGGGCCGCACGCGUGCUACACUGAGUGGAUCAGCGGGUCAGGUUGCGCGAAAGCGUUUCCUAAUCUUUAAAUCCGCUCGUGAUGGGGAUUGACGGUUGCAAUUUUCUGUCAUGAACGAGGAAUACCUUGUAAGCGCGGGUCAUCAUCCCGCGCUGAAUACAUCCCUGCCCUUUGUACACACCGCCCGUCGCUCCUACCGAUUGAGUGGUCCGGUGAGGCUUUGGGAUCUGAGCGGAAAGAGCGUUUCGCUGUUUCUGCUCGGAAAACUCAGUCGAACCUUAUCAUUUAGAGGAAGGAGAAGUCGUAACA
rnacentral:rRNA from 1 species